AAAAAUCUGAAGCCAGCCCAACUUGUUUUCUUAAAAAGACUAAAAAAUAAAAGCCCAGCCCAUAUCUAAUACUAACCCUGUCUCUGUACACAUCUUUAACUCUCUCCCUCUCUUUCCACAUUCAGUCGGCAACCUCCUUUUCCUUACUCACCCUUGCCCUCGCCCUCGCCGUCUCGACUCCCUCUUUAUCUCUCGGCGAUGCAGAAGCAACGACAUGGUAUCGCAACCAAGCAACGCUCUCUCUAUUCAUGCAGGUGGUUUGCCGAUGUACGAGAACGACGGGGCUCAGUGAGGUAUCUCACUCUCUCUCUCUCUUUCUCUAACACUUUGUCUCCCACUCUUUUUGUAGCUGCGGCGAUGAGGUGGGAGUCAUAUGACUAGCAACGAACGAGUUGAGAUGUGAGGCUGGGGGCAAUGUCGAACCAUGGGGCUACGGGGAGGGUUGGCGACGAUGAUGGAGCACAGACCAAUGGGGAUUUCUACGCUCUGAGUAACAGGGUCGUGCUUUGUUUUGGAUAAGAAUCAUUAAAGGUGUUUGUUGAUUGAACCAAGGUAUAUUUAUUAAAAAAUGGUAGACAAUGUUAUUUGAUUUAUUACACAGGGUCAUGACUUGGUUUUGUUUGAUUAGUUUAUCUUCUUUCCUAUUAUUGAUCUAUUUUUCUCAACUCUGUUUUGAGUUUUACAUUAAUGAUUAGAAUAUGUGUAGUGAUCUUUUUAAGAGCAUGCUUGCUUGCUAUAUACAAACAGUAAUAUGUCAAGUAGGAUUUGUUAAUGAUAAAAUGAUCCUAUUUUCAGAUCAUUCUUGGAUAACAGAAAGUUCUCUGUAAACUUGUAGUGUUUGGUUGUUUUGUUUUUCAAUUGUACUUAUUUUCAGGUACGUACGAGGUUGGUCGUUUGCUAGCUAAUGAAAGCAACAAUACUGCAAGAUGUAUUCAAAGGUGGAAGUUGAAGUCAUAUAUUAAUUGUUAUGAUUGUUCCUUUUUCAUUUUGAUGUGUAUUUGUUGUGUAAAUCUGAGUGAAAUAUUGUACAUUAUAUAUAUAUGUACAUAUAUGAUCAGCUUAUUUAGUGUGGAUAGAAUAUUUUUGGGUUAGUUUUUGUUGUUUGUAAUUUUAAAAUUGUUUAAUUGGUCAUAUGUAUUAUUUUUAUUUUAUUGUUAACUUGGUGUUUGUUCUAAA